UAAACGUUGGUCGGAUGAAUGAGGAAAGGCAGGGAAAAUGCUUAGCACAGCUUCUGGGGCCGAGGGAGCAGGUGACAGACAGUAGGAAUGACAGCCAUCAGGUGAAUCAGAUAAGGCAAGGCCCAGCCCCCGGGGCUCCCACUGCUGGGGACACAGGAGACAGGCACGUAGGGCCGAUUGCCACACCCGUGACAUGUCACAAGCACAGGAAGUGACAGGUUGCACGGAGACCCUGAGGCUUCUGGGAGGCGAAGCUGAGCGAGGCUUUUGGGGGCUACACGGACACCUGCCUGGCAGGCCGGGGGAAUGAACAAGGGGGAAUGUGGAGGGAGAUGAGGACAGAGGACACAGGGAGCCCCAAGUUCCUCUCGGAUCCUGCACGUUUGUGUGAAGAGACAGGAUGCUCUCUGACCUCCGCAUGGGCCUCUGUCCUAUGGGGUCCUUGCUCCGUGGGCAGCGGCCCCUUCCUCCCUUUCCAGACCACCCUCCCCAUCUUUGCUGCUGCUUUUCAGCAAAUUUAAAAAAUGAUACUAUCUUUAUUUGACUUCAGGGAAGAAAGUAACACACUCGUUGUUAAAAAAAAUAAAUUCAAACCAAGCAAAAGGAAAUAAAGUAGAACCGGAAACUUCCCGGCUGUCCCGUCCCUAACAGCUUCGAACUUCUAACAUUUUAAUAUUUUUCCUCAUAGCCCUUGAUUUUUCUUUUAAUGAAAAUACUAUCAUAGGAUAUGGAUGGGUUCGUAACCUUUCUUUCUUGCAGAAAUUAACAUGGGCAUAAUAUCAUCUCGAUGCCCCUUUUUUUUCAUUUUUAAAAAUAAACUUUAUUUUUGGGAAGAGUUUUAGAUUUACAGAAAAACUGCAAAGAUAACACAGACUUCUUAUAAAGCCCACUCCCAGUUUCCCCUAUUAUUAAGAUCUCACUUUAAUAUGGUACAUUUAUUACCACUAAUGAACAAAUGCUGAUACAUUAUUAUUGACGAAAGCCCAUACUUUAUUCUACUGCCUUUUAAAAACCUUUUGAUAUAAUUCCAUUGAGAUACAACUUCGUACAACUAACUGGACCCUUUUAAAGUGGACCAAUUUGAUGAGUUUUGACAGAGAUGUCGUCCCAUGAAACUGCCACCGCAAUCAGGACACAGAAUGUUUCCGCCCCUCGCAGCUUCCGCCGUCCCCUGGCCAUCCUCCCCUCCAUCCCCCAGCUUUGGGCGACGCCCAGUCUGCUCCUGGUCACGACAGGUUAGGUUUACCUUUCCCAGCGCGGUGUCGAUGAAGCCACAUUGUACGCAGCCUUUCGAGUCCGGCUCCUGUCCCCCAGCCCGAGACAUUCUUGAUCCACUCACAUUGUCCUGCUUGUCAAGAACUCCUUCCUUAUCGCCCAGAGUGGUCCACGGGGGGAUGGACCACAACGUAUUUAUCUUUUCGCCACUUGAUAGACAUUUUGGGUUGUUUCCAGGUUUGGGUGGUUAUGAAAACCACUGCUUUGAACAUUCCUGUACAAUCGUUUUGUGAAUAUGUGUUUUCAUUUCUCUUGAGUAAAAC
rnacentral:lncRNA from 1 species